GAUGAACGCUGGCGGCGUGCCUAAUACAUGCAAGUCGAGCGAACAGACGAGGAGCUUGCUCCUCUGACGUUAGCGGCGGACGGGUGAGUAACACGUGGAUAACCUACCUAUAAGACUGGGAUAACUUCGGGAAACCGGAGCUAAUACCGGAUAAUAUAUUGAACCGCAUGGUUCAAUAGUGAAAGACGGUUUUGCUGUCACUUAUAGAUGGAUCCGCGCCGCAUUAGCUAGUUGGUAAGGUAACGGCUUACCAAGGCAACGAUGCGUAGCCGACCUGAGAGGGUGAUCGGCCACACUGGAGCUGAGACACGGUCCAGACUCCUGCGGGAGGCAGCAGUAGGGAAUCUUCCGCAAUGGGCGAAAGCCUGACGGAGCGACGCCGCGUGAGUGAUGAAGGUCUUCGGAUCGUAAAACUCUGUUAUUAGGGAAGAACAAAUGUGUAAGUAACUAUGCACGUCUUGACGGUACCUAAUCAGAAAGCCACGGCUAACUACGUG
rnacentral:rRNA from 1 species